rnacentral:rRNA from 1 species
AUGGAACAAUGUAGGCAAGGGAAGUCGGCAAAACGGAUCCGUAACUUCGGGAAAAGGAUUGGCUCUGAGGACUGGGCUCGGGGGUCCCGGCCCCGAACCCGUCGGCUGUCGGCGGAUUGCUCGAGCUGCUCACGCGGCGAGAGCGGGUCGCCGCGUGCCGGCCAGGGGACGGACCGGGAAUCGCCCCUUCGGGGGCUUUCCCCGAGCAUGAAACAGUCGACUCAGAACUGGUACGGACAAGGGGAAUCCGACUGUUUAAUUAAAACAAAGCAUUGCGAUGGUCCUCGCGGAUGCUGA